GAUGAACGCUGGCGGCGUGCCUAAUACAUGCAAGUCGAGCGAACAGACGAGGAGCUUGCUCCUCUGACGUUAGCGGCGGACGGGUGAGUAACACGUGGAUAACCUACCUAUAAGACUGGGAUAACUUCGGGAAACCGGAGCUAAUACCGGAGAAUAUAUUGAACCGCAUGGUUCAAUAGUGAAAGACGGUUUUGCUGUCACUUAUAGAUGGAUCCGCGCCGCAUUAGCUAGUUGGUAAGGUAACGGCUUACCAAGGCAACGAUGCGUAGCCGACCUGAGAGGGUGAUCGGCCACACUGGAACUGAGACACGGUCCAGACUCCUACGGGAGGCAGCAGUAGGGAAUCUUCCGCAAUGGGCGAAAGCCUGACGGAGCAACGCCGCGUGAGUGAUGAAGGUCUUCGGAUCGUAAAACUCUGUUAUGAGGGAAGAACAAAUGUGUAAGUAAAUAUGCACGUCUUGACGGUACCUAAUCAGAAAGCCACGGCUAACUACGUG
rnacentral:rRNA from 1 species